UUUUCACGCUGGGAUCUGUCUGUGGGUGACCUCUGAGUACAUUUGCUGGAGGCAAAGACUUCCAUUUUCUUUGCCAAUUGGUAACCAGAGAAGGAUGUGGAUAUCGCUCAAAGAGAAAAAAUGCCCAAGCUCUGCAUCAAAGGCAAGCUGCCGACUCUAAGGGAAGGAUGUGGUACAAGAGCAAGCCAAGUGUUGAUUAUAAGAAAAGGGGAAGGCGUCCAGCUAGUUAAUGAAACAACCUGCUAACAGUUUCCAGUUGGAAAGAGUGAUCAAGGACUUUUCCUUCAGACAAACAGCAUCAUUUGAUUGCUCUCACUCCUUGAUCAUCAGAAGAUGAUGAUGAAGUGGAUGCUGUUCUCAUUAUUCCUGCCUCAGGAUGUGGUGGACCACCAUCUGCAGAUGCCGUUCCUUAUUCCAGCAAGGCAGUCGUGUCUUCAAAAUUGUUUCUUCUUCUUCAGAAAGUCACCUACUCCUUCAGUGAUCAAGUUCCCGCCCACAUGAUAAGAUUUUAGGUGAGCAACACGUACUCUUUAGACUCUUUAG
rnacentral:lncRNA from 1 species